GCCAGACUCCUACGGGAGGCAGCAGUGGGGAAUAUUGCACAAUGGGGGAAACCCUGAUGCAGCGACGCCGCGUGAGUGAAGAAGUAUUUCGGUAUGUAAAGCUCUCUCAGCAGGGAAGAAAAUGACGGUACCUGAUUAAGAAGCCCCGGCUAACUACGUGCCAGCAGCCGCGGUAAUACGUAGGGGGCAAGCGUUAUCCGGAUUUACUGGGUGUAAAGGGAGCGUAGACGGUGAUGCAAGUCAGAAGUGAAAGCCCGGGGCUCAACUCCGGGACUGCUUUUGAAACUGUGUAACUGGAGUGCAGGAGAGGUAAGCGGAAUUCCUGGUGUAGCGGUGAAAUGCGUAGAUAUCAGGAGGAACACCAGUGGCGAAGGCGGCUUACUGGACUGUAACUGACGUUGAGGCUCGAAAGCGUGGGGAGCAAACAGGAUUAGAUACCCCGGUAG
rnacentral:rRNA from 1 species